rnacentral:lncRNA from 1 species
CAUGUGCAGCUAAGUUCAUGGAGAUUCACGCAAAUGGUGGUCGGAAGGAGGAGAUGAGAGAUUGAUGACAGUUUGGUGGACCGGUUUCGAGAGCAGUAUGCAAUGGACUGCUAUGAAGAAUUUGUUGGUAAUGUCACAGUUGCGAACCAGGUGUGAACAAAGCAGGAGUAUGUUUUUCUAAGUUGUGUAUGGUUUUCCAAAUUUCUAGCGGAUUUAUUUACAGUUUUUACCCAAUUUCGGUAUUGUUUAUUGUAUAAUUAUGGUUUGCGAACUUACGUGCUAUGUUUGUCUAUGGUUGGUUAUUUUCUUAAAGGA